rnacentral:rRNA from 1 species
GACGAACCGUGCAAACGUUGUUCGGAAUCACUGGGCUUAAAGGGCGCGUAGGCGGGUCACCAAGUCUGUGGUGAAAGCCUCCAGCUUAACUGGAGAAGUGCCGUGGAUACUGGUGGUCUCGAGGGAGGUAGGGGCAUGUGGAACUUCCGGUGGAGCGGUGAAAUGCGUAGAUAUCGGAAGGAACGCCGGUGGCGAAAGCGACGUGCUGGACCUCUUCUGACGCUGAGGCGCGAAAGCUAGGGGAGCAAACGGG